CUAAGCUUGUCUUGACUGAUCAGGACUCCUCAGUUCACCAUGAGGCUCCCUGCUCAGCUCCUGGGGCUGCUAAUGCUCUGCGUCCCUGGAUCCAGUGGGGAUGUUGUAAUGACUCAGUCUCCACUCUCCCUGCCCGUCACCCCUGGACAGCCGGCCUCCAUCUCCUGCAGGUCUAGUCAAAGCCUUGUAUACAGUGAUGGAAACACCUACUUGAGUUGGUUUCAGCAGAAGCCAGGUCAACCUCCAAGGCUCCUGAUUUAUCAGGUUUCUAAACGGUACUCUGGGGUCCCAGACAGAUUCAGCGGCAGUGGGGCAGGGACAGAUUUCACACUGAAAAUCAGCAGAGUGGAGGCUGAGGAUGUCGGGGUUUAUUACUGCAUGCAAGUUACACACUCUCCUCCCACAGUGGUACAGCCCUGAGCAAAAACCUCCCUAUGGGGUGGCCCAGCUGCCCACAUGUGGUGCUUGACUGGGGAGCAGCUCAACAGGGUCUCAGAAUCUGUGUAAGAGGAAGAUGCUGGAGAAGCAGGGGACAAUUCACAGCUGAGGACUCUGGACUUUGAGAGCCCAGCCACACCACAGGCACCACUCCUUUAUGCCCUGGCAGUUGCCACAACCUUGACUGUCAUAAGCAGCAGGAGAAUGAGGGGUCCAGGUGCCCUAUGAGUAAACAAGCAAGACGGAAGGGAGAGGAGAAAUGACGGCUCACCCUAACGCUCCCUGCCUUGUGCACAUUUGUUAAUUAAAUGUAAUCAGCAGAGCAGACAGACCAUUGACACAGAUUAGGACUAUCCAUGUUGGAUACAUCUUUGGGUUUGGCAGUUUUGGGCAUAUUGUUUAGAGGACAUUUGAUAAUAUUUAAUAUUGAUAUUUUGCCAGUUUUCUAACUUCCUGAUCCCCCUGUCCUCCCACUCCAAAAGACAGUAGAGACACAUUCUACACUAGCUAUCUUAAGAGGAAGCUGGCUGAGGAAAGUCAAUAAAAAUCUUGGUUUUGGAGUAUCAAAUAGAUUAUUGCAAAUUCAUA